UAACAAGGUUUCCGUAGGUGAACCUGCGGAAGGAUCAUUAAAUGGCGUGCGAUCCGCACGCGGACGCGCCCGGGCUCCGGCUUGGGGGUUGCCUGCAUGCGGCUCCUCNCUCUCUACCCUUGCUUAUUUGUAUCCUCUUGUUGUUUCCUCGGCGGGUCCUGACCUGCCGGUGGGAAUUCGAUAAACCUCUUGCAGUAGUAUCCAAUCAUUCUGAUCAAAAGUAUUAAAUCGUUACAACUUUCAACAAUGGAUCUCUUGGUUCUGGCAUCNAUGAAGAACGCANCGAAAUGCGAUAAGUAGUGUGAAUUGCAGAAUUCAGUGAAUCAUCGAAUCUUUGAACGCACAUUGCGCCCCUUGGUAUUCCAUGGGGCAUGCCUGUUCGAGCGUCAUUUGCACCCUCAAGCACUGCUUGGUGUUGGGCGUCUGUCCGCAUGGACUCGCCUCAAAGGCAUUGGCAGCGGUCCUGCCGGGUCUCCUAAUCGCGCAGCACUGUUCGCGCUUCCUGGAGCCUCUGCGGAUUCGGCGUCCAUCAAGCCCAAUCUUCUAAACUUGACCUCGGAUCAGGUAGGGAUACCCGCUGAACUUA
rnacentral:rRNA from 1 species